AUAUUUUGCUCCACUUCACAUGUCUGAGUUGGCCCAUUAUUCUUUUUCACUUCACACACACUCGAACACUUUCUCAAACUCACAAUCUCGUUCAAGCUUAGGGAUUUCCCUCUCUUCUUCACAUAUGUAUUCGAUUCACCUGAAAUGAAAGUAGAAACCUUGCAAUUUUCAACACCCCCGUCAAGUUGGAAGGGAGGGAACUGAGACCCAACUUGCCGAGCAAGGUUUGAUGAGAAACACUGGAAAGAGGCUUAGUGAAGAGAUCGGCGAGUUGAGAGGAAGCUGGUACAAAAGGGAGUGAAAUCAAACCGGCAAGCUACUGCUGUCUAACGAAGUGACAAUCCAACUCUAUGUGUUUGGUUUGUUCGUGGAAAAUCGGGUUGCGAGCAAUCUGGAUUGCUGCUUGGCUGUCGGAGUACCGGAAUCGAAAUUGUAGGAGGACAACCAAGAUAAGCCAGGUAGACAGGGAGAUGGUUCCGACCCUUAGGCUGUUUUUUCAGCGCUUGUACAUGAGCACUUCACCUAUUCCGGAGUUGCAAUUUAGCUUGGUAUAAUCCUUUGGUGUACAUUUGGGCAAAGCGGGGUCCUGUCCCGUUCUCAUUAUAUUAUGCACUCCAAUAGAGGCUCAUAGACAAAUAUGCACAGUUAGAUGUUCUAUGACCUUCUUAGUCCAUACUUGUGAUAUCAUUAUUUUGGAUAACCUUGUCGGCUUGUCUAUUGUGAUUCAGUACGGUUGCGCAUGUAUACAUCCUUUGGGCUUGUGUCCCUUACAGCUUAUGAUAUCUAUCAGUUAGUGCCGUUGCCCACAUUUUGAUUUGACUAUAAGAUACAUGUAUGUUCUGUGGUGCUCGGUAGGUUAGUUCUGGGUGCCCAUCAUGGCCCUCCGGGAUAGUUUUUCCCUAUUAGGCUGACUAAACUAGCCUCAAGGUCAUUCCGGAGUUCUUUAGCAGAUUUUGAAUAAAUGACACUAUCUGAAAUAUCUCUGGACUGGGAAUUGAGUAACCAAGAGGUCACCAUGUCAUUGCACUUGUUCCAGAAUUUGAACUCAGUGCUGGUGAUAGCAAGAGAUUUGUUGCUACCAUCAAUGAAGCUAAGCUUAUUCUUAGAGCAAUGAGAACAAUCCUUUUCCACCCACCAUAUCAUUUCCCUUCAAACAUAUAAUUCACCAAGGACAUGCCUGGUGAGUCUGAAAGGUGAAGAAAAUAGGGACCGCUGCUAUCUAUAGGAGAAAAUAUAAUAGCAGUAGCAGUAGCAGAAACUGUUUCAAAUGAUUCAACUAUUUUGAGAUGACAAGAUCAAGAAAAUUUCAAAAAAAAAAAAAAGUUGAAAAAGAAAGACAGAUCUGGAAAAAUCAAUUCUGCUCUGAUAAUACCAUGUUGGAAAGCAAAGAAUAAAGACACAAGAAUGUAAAAUUCCGAAUGAUUUCAUUCAUUCACUGUGUACCUAUUUAUACAAAACUAUGUAAAGGAAAGAACAAUGUACACUUGCUAUUUUCCUAUUAGUUCCUAUUGUAACUAACUAUAACAACUAUGGAAUCUUUUUUUUUUUUCCAUUUUUGAAAGAGAAAUAACAACAAGAAACUGGCUCGAAACUAGGCGAGGGAAUGAGACCCCAACUACAUCUCCUGCAGCAUGCGAAGAAAUUCUAGAAGACACGUAUGAACGUCAUUUAAAGCGAGACUCUUGACUAAAUGCCAAAUUGGCUAACCCAUCAGCAACCGAAUUAGCCUCCUUGUAAAUAUGAGCAAUAGAGACAACCCAGUUCCUAUCCAAGGCUUCCUGAAGGUCAGUGAGGACUCCCCAUAGCUCUGCUCUAAAUGAUGUACAAACUCCAAUUUUAACAGAAAAUCCUCCGAGCCACCUGCUAUCAGAAUCACGAAAUACACCGCCUGCAGUUCCCAUCAAAAUACUCCUUUGAAGAGCCCCAUCUAUGUUGAAAGCUACCCACUGUUGACACCUAAUUUUUGACCUCCGAUAAUUUUACUCAAUUACUUGGACUCCCUAGAUUACAAAUGGAGUAGAAUAUGUAUUUUUACGAGUCAAAUCAAUUUUACAAAAUCAUCUCGGUGUCAUUUUGUCAUUAUAUUUGGCAAAACACCGGCAAAAGAACAACCGCAUGUCAUUUUUACGUUUUUAGCAUAUUUUCAAGAAAAUACAAGAGUAUUUAUUUAUUUUUUCUCAAAAAAUAGUUAAUUACGAGUUAUUAGUUUUAAGCAUUUACAAUUAGUCAUCAUUUAGUGUUCUACUCCGUCAAAAUCGAGGGAUUUGAAUUAAUCAAGUAAUAAGCAGUUUAUUUUGGGUAAAUUAAGUGUCAAAAUAGAGUUUAAUUAUGUUUUGGGGAAUUUAACUUAGUUUUAAUUAAAGUAACUUGAGACAAAUGAAAAUACUUUUAUUUCACACUUGUGGUAUUCAAAAGUUUUUGAAAAUAUCGUAUAUAUAUACCACAUAUACGCGUGUAUACACUGAUCAUAUGCGAAAAGUUGGGCCGCCGGGUCCAUUCCAAAAGGGCAGAACCCUAACUCUGUAAAACGUACACCUCCAGCUCAUUUUUUCACGGUAACAUGUACUUUGUCUCUUCAAUUGGCAACGGAUUUUGCUUAUCUUCUCUUGUAAGUUUGGGAUUUGAAUGUUCAAUUGGUGAACGGUCAUAUUUCAUUUGGGUUCUAUAUAGAAACCCGCCGCAAUGGGGUUUUUGAUAACCCUCAAGAGUUCGAACACUUAGAAGCUCGGCAAAAGCCUUGAGUUUCGAGCUCAUACUUUAAUUUUUGGAAUCGUUUCCGUUCGUCGAAAAUCGAUUCGGGUGGAAAGGUUGUUCGUAGACUCUCAUCGCCCCGUCGCUGCCCGUCUUGGCAUUUUCUUUAUAUUUCUUUAGUUCUGUCACUUCUGAAUUUAUUUGGUGUGUUUAGUUGUAAUCUUGUUAGAGUCAAGUAAAUAAUUUACUUUCUCUCGUAGAGUCCGGAACCAAAAUAACCCCCCAAAAAAGGGUAUGAACCAAAAUACCUCAGGAAAAAAAACGGGUACAAAAGUACCUUUAACACAUGAAAAUCAUGCGUUAAAGGACUUAACGCGGACGGAGCCGUUAAGUCCUUUAACGCAUGAUUUUCAUGCGUUAAAGGUGUCCCUUUUUUGGUCAAAUUGUGUGAUAAGCUUUAACGCAUGAUUUUCAUGCGUUAAAGCUUUAUCCCUUUUUUUUUUUUAAUUUCUUUCUUUCUUUCCUUCUUUUUUCCUUCCUUUCACACUUUUUUUACAUACUUUAGACAUAGAUUAAUCAUGCUUCGAGACUCCAAAACUUGAAUAUUUUAUAUAGAAUCCUAUUUAUUUUUGUGCGAUUAAUAAGGUAGGCUCAACACAUCAAGGAUACACAAAACUUCAGAUUGUCGUUUCAGUGGUUGAAAAGUGCUCGAAGUCCAUUUUUGUUUGAAGACUUGUUGACAUUAGCUUUAAGUUAUUUAUGUUUUAGGGUUACACAUUAUUUUUAUAUUAAUGCGUAACUUUAUUUUUAGUGAUUAUAACUUUAUUUUUAUAAUCAAUUAACAAAAUAUCAAUUCAUGAUCAAUUAUUUAUGUGUAAUUUUUUUUUUUUUUUUUUUUUUGCGUUAUACCCUUCAACCCCCAACUAAUUAGAGUCUGCAAUUUAAAUAACCCAAAAAGUGGAUUUGGGUACCAAAAUAACCCAUUAAAAAACUUUUGCGCACUAAUUUAUUUGUAAGUUGGUGAAAUUUUAAAUGGUCAUAAAUUUGUGCUCGGAUGUCCAUUUGAUGCGAUUUUUUUUUAUUUUGGGUAUUUUUUCCAGAUCUAUGCGUCUGAACUGCCGCAAGGCUGUUCGGCCGCCCCGAAUUUUCGAAAAACGUCAGUUAUCCUAUUCAAUUUCAAUUUUUCCCCAAAUUAGUGUGCAAUUUUCAUUUAUUUCUUUUUUAAAUCUAAUGGCGAAAAAUAUAUUUCAAUUUCAUAAUCCCGUGAUAAUGAUGUUUUCAAUGUCAAUUUCAAGGUUCCAAAUUCAAUUUAAGAAAACAAGUUAGAUAGCAUUAGUGAACAUACAAAAUAAUAAAAAGUGUCUACACUGUUACUUUAACCAACUUGGCAUGGUGGUAAAGCCUUUGGCUUUUGACUUUUUUUUAAUCUCAUCCACCAGGGAUCAAACCUCAGCAGGAGCGUUGAGAAGAUAUUAUUAGUAAAAAAAUGAACUAAUUUAUCUAACGAUUGACAUGGGAUAAACAAGUAAAUAACAUGGGAAAAACAAUUUCAGAAAUAAAUAUAUUAACAAUGCCAUAAUUAACAAUAAUUAACGGAGAUCCAUGGAGGUGUCGUAUUUGUAAAUACUAAAUUAUUCAUUAUUCUUGAAAUUAACUAAAAAAAAUCUCUAAUUAGAACUUACUUAACUAGGAUAAGUUAUGGAGGAUUUAAGUAGUUAUUUUGAAUAAUCCAUGAUAUUGUAUUGUCAAUUAUAAUUUACUUAACUCAUCUAGUUAAAGUAAUAACGAACAAAAUUUUAUAUUAACUAACUAAUCCUUCAUCAAAAAAUUAUGUUAACUAACUAAUCCUUUUCGAAAAUUCUGUUAAUGAUGUUCAAUCCAAAACUAAGGAUUUAGCUUAUCGUUUGUUAUUCAGGAUUUAGUUUAUCGUUCGUUAUUCGGGAUUUAGUUUAUUAUUCGUUAUUCAGGAUUUAACUUAUUGUUCGUUAUUCGUUAAUGGAUUAUUUUGGUACCCAAACCCACUUUUGAAGUUAUUUAAGUUGCGGACUCCAAUUAGUUGGGUGUUGAAGUGGAUAACGCAAAAAAAAAAAAAAUACACAGAAAUAAUUGAUUGUGAAUUAAUAUUUGUUAAUUGAUUAUGGAUUAUUAAUUUGUUAAUUUUUUAUUUAUUGUUAAUUUAUUUAUUUGUGAAAUUGUCAAAAUAAAGUUACGCAUUAAUAUAAAAAUAAUGUGUAACCCUAAAACAUAAAUAACUUAAAGCUAAUGACAACAAGUCUUCAAACAAAAAUGGACUUCGAGCACUUUUCAACCACUAAAACGACAAUCCGAAGUUUUGUGUAUCCUUGAUGUGUUGAGCCUACCUUAUUAGUCGCACAAAAAUAAAUAGGGUUCUAUAUAAAAUAUUCAAGUUUUGGAGUCUCGAAGCAUGAUUAAUCUAUGUCUAAAGUAUGUAAAAAAAGUGUGAAAGAAAGGAAAAAGAAGGAAAGAAAGAAAUUAAAAAAAAAAAAAAGGGAUAAACCUUUAACGCAUGAAAAUCAUGCGUUAAAGCUUAUCACACAAUUUGACCAAAAAAGGGACACACGCAUGAAAAUCAUGCGUUAAAGGACUUAACGGCUCCAUCCGCGUUAAGUCCUUUAACGCAUUAUUUUCAUGCGUUAAAGGUACUUUUGUACCCGUUUUUUUUCCUGGGGUAUUUUGGUUCAUACCCUUUUUUUGGGGUUAUUUUGGUUCCGGACUCUUCUCUCGUAUGCUAAGUAUAUUCGCUGUUUCUUUUAGUUUCGAACUAGAUCAGUUUAAGGUCGGGUAAAACUGAUGACGAGGAUUAAAGUGUGUACUAGAUCAGUAUGGUUGAUACUAUGCUUUAGCUAUAUACAUUUUUUCUAUGCGUUGGCUAGUGUCAAAUAUAAAACAUUACCGGAGCUUUAAGGCUGUUUUUAGUUCAAGAUGCUUUCUUUGGGAAUAGUUAAUAUAGGUUGAGACCUUGACAUUUUCUGCUAGUGGAGAUUUUCAUGUCCUAGCAUUGAAACUAUUCUAAAAUUCUACUGGAAGAUGAUUGUCCCAAACUCAUUAACAUGGACUAUAUGAGUACAAGUCUUUAAGAUCCUCAUUUUUUGUUUCUGGAUUGUUGUGCAUGUAGUCAUACUGUUUGUAACUCUCCAUUGCAUUUUUGUUUGAAACUAAUUGAGUUAAAAUGGUUGAAGACCAGGAAAUAUGCUCAUUAUGAGUAUACUGGGCAGAGGUGAAUACCCCCUUCCCUGCCUUAUUUUUUGGUCUAUGAGCCUAGUUCAAUACCCUUCCUUCCAUCCCCUAACAACUGUUAAUCUAGUAUGAUACUUAUUGAGACUGUUUGAAAGUUGGUAUGAGUUGAGGAAGUUGAGUUUUAACCCAACAUCAUCUCAGGACACUCCUAACCAGGCUGGCAAUCCAGUUUAUAUAUAAACAAAAGGCUCUUCCUCGUAGCCUGUUAUGUUUGUCUACUUAAAUACAUGCUAUGUGUCAUUGUUAUGAGUGGUUAAACGGUUGUAUAUCAAUUAUAAAAUUAUAGAAGUUAAACUGGGGAUUGAAAAAAGAAUUACCAAAUUCUUUCUUGUUUGAGCUUCUGAUUAAUGAGUCUGAAAUCAUCAUGUAUUUUCCUUGCUUGUUUGAAAGAACCCUUUAGAGUCAUUAAGUUGUACACUAAAAGAUGAUCACAUUUUUGGUGAAGUUGGAAAGGGACAAAGUUCAACAGUCUUAGUUUAAAGUUUCUCUCUAUUUUGGUUUUGAACAUUUCCAUAACUUUAGUUGCUUUCUUCUAAAUGUCACCUUUAGGCACAUAAUAUAUUUCUCCUAGUGGUUGGUGGUCUAGUAGUUAACAUAUUUUUAUUUAUGGCAAACUGUACUCAAUUCAAGGAUUCAAAAUGAUUAUUUUAGCUUAGCUAAGAUAUCUUUUCUGGUUAAAUACCUCCCAAAAGAGGGGUUUGAGUUAUAGGUCAAUGGUUUGUAAGUAUGAACUUGGUUCUGAUUUGAUAUAGUUGUCGUAAGUGUUCAUUAGAUUUAGUUUCCUUCCAUUGUGGACAGCUUGAGUUAUCCUAAUGGGGAAUUGACAGUGGCGGACCCAGGAUUUUGAGUUCGGGGGUGCUGGACCCAAGAAUUUUGAGUUCGGGGGUGCUCUAUUAACUAUUUAUAUCUGUUUCCUUUAUAUUUUCUAUACAGCUAUACACUCCGUGACUGAGUUUAAUGGGUGCUGGAGCACCCAAAAGUUAUACAUGGGUCCGCCACUGGGAAUUGAAACAAAACUGCAGACCCGACCUUGUUUGAGCCUAGGGGAUAACUGCUUAAAAACAUGAUAUUUUAAGCUGGGGCUUUGGGGAAUCUAUUGACAUUUUGCUGGUUCCUCUUUAUGUUGUCUGUAUGCAUACCAUUCUUUGAAAACAUAACCAGCUUAUCAAGGCUAUCCAAGUUCCCUCUACAAGUCAUGAAUUUGCUUCCUUCUCUUGUGACUGUUUUGAGAUAUGGUUUUAUAAUGGAUGAAAAAAAAAAGGACAGUUACGUUUAGAUAUAAAUAUCCUUCAUGUUAAAUCAUGUAAAGAGUGAAAACUAUUUACCUAUUAGCAUGAAAAAAUAGUUUCCCGUAACAAAGUAUUCCAAUGUCCCUCUCUGUUUUGCACCAUGUCACAAAUUGUGUGUUAAACUCCUUUGUAUUCUGGUUGAAAAUUUAGACCAUUAAAUAUCUUUGCUCAAAUAAGUUUUGAAUGUUUUUGCAAGCAUAUGUGUGUUAAGAAUUCCCAAACUACUUAAGAUACUGAACCUUUGAAAAGCACUAUUUUAAAAAAUAAAUCUUGCCUUCUGUUUAAAAAUUUUAAUGUCUAGAUAACUUGAAUGCUGCAAGUUUUGAAAUCUUUAAGGGCUAUUGUGUUGCUUUCUGUUUUGAAGUAUGAAUUCUCUUUGAACCUUCUAGAUUAAUUCAGUCUCCUUGGACCAUAGUAGUGAGUGUAGCUUGUUGUGUAUUUGCUUUAAGUUUCAACUCAGUUAAGUUUUCCCAGAUUCUUAACCUUCAGAGUUAAUACUUAUAUUCUCCAAAACUGUUCUUGAACAUUUUCUUGGAUGUUCUCAUUAGUUCCUUAAAACUUUGAGACUUUGGGCUCUGUCAUCUUAAUUUGUUUUUUCUUUCUUUAGAAUUUAAACCAAGAUGUGAUAGGUUAUCUUAUAGUAUCUUGUUACAACUUUUCUAUGCACACAUACUCAUCCUUCACUCUUCUCUUCUUUGCAUGACCUGGGGAGUCUACAAACCUCCUGGAGUUAUUACUUUGCUGCUACUUGACGAGUUUGCUGCCAUGACCUGUUAUGUACUGCUGAAUUUAAAAAGGACAGAUCCUGCACUUGACAAAAAGUGGUUGUAGUUUGCCAUAUGCUGCUGUGUAAUUGCUGCAUUAUUGGGGCUGAAAGAUGCCAUCUUUUCAUGCCAUUUUGCUGUUGCCAUUUGGUUUGCAAUGAUGACACCAUGGCCAAGAAUCUGCAUGAUCCUUCUUUCUCUUUCCUUUUUUUUGCUUCAUGUUUAUGGAAAUUAUUAUGUGAUAACUGAUGCAACUCCAUGUAACUGAUCACCAUGCUAUCAUUUGUUAGUGCAUGAACCCUUAGGACCUGCAUUUUGUUUCUCUUUAGUUUUCUUUAAAAUGCCCCUACUUCUUGUAACUGCUUCUGGUCUAAACCGCUUCAAAUUGAGUUUGCAAAGCCCCUUCAAGAUUUCCCUAUUACAAUUAAGUUUCUUGUAUGUUAGGUAGUAAAUGUAACAUUGACCUGAAUCUUCAAUAUUAAGGUAUUUAAAGCAUUGGUUUUGAACUGUUUCCAGGAAUGCUGAUCAAGUUUUGAUCCAUCCUCUGUUAAAGAACUGAUAAACCUACUUUUGUGCUAAGAUUAAUGCAUUUCAAGUCAUGUAGUUCUCUCUGUUUGACUAAGUGUUAUUUCCAAAUUGCCUCAUAAGAAUGUGACCAUGUUAAAUUCUCUGUGAUGCUUCUUUUGACAGGAAACUGCUUUAGUUAGCCAGAGGAUAUUUCACAUGCAUGUUGGUCUGUCUUAAAAAAGGGGAAAACGGGGAAAGGGUUUGGCUCAAACCUCUUUUAACUGCAUUUUUUUAGCUUAGGCCCAUAUGAACAAAUUCUUUACUUAUAAAUAAAUCUUGUCCCUCCACUGUUUCUUCGUUUGAGAUGAAUAGAAGUAUGACUUAUGAGAGUGGAAACUAAUUCUGUAUGUUUAAAAGGAAUCAGGUUUUCAGAAGUUGUUCUGUGCUAUCUCUUAAUGUCUUGUUUGUCCAUUACUUGGCUUAUAUCUCUGGUUUACUAGCUAUGUGUUUGAGAAAGAGGAUUGCUGGACUUUCCUGAUUGCUAGCUUCUGCUUUGUUAUGCCUUUUGUAUGGCUCUUAGCAUGAUCAAAGUAUGAGCAUAUAUUUCGUUUGUCAAAAUUCUUCUGAUUGUCUGUUGUGAUGGCUGAAAGCCAAGGCAAGCUUUAGGAUUCAGUUCAGCCUCCUCCAAUAGCCUACCAUCCCAAGGUUCUAGAAACCUUUGUAUCUUGUGUGGCAUUGGAAAUACGGAUGGUGGUAACCCCCUUAGCUGUCUAUCUUCCUGGCUUAAUGCUUAGUCUGGAUCUUUAGGAUCAGUCUCCUUUUUAGUUGGUAGUUGUGUGUUUCUGACCUGUUUACUUAGUGUUAGUUUAACUGAAGAGUAUGCUAAGAAGAUCAAAAAAGUGUCUUUUCAAGUUCAUAAAUUCAGAACAUGUAUCUAUUUGAAUCUCAUUUGGCAGAUAAGUUUAAAACUAAGAAUGUAACCUGUUUUGUUGUUUGUAAUUGAGUCCUGAUCCUCUUGUCCUGAGACAUGAACAUGUUGGUUGAUAUUCUCAUUUUUUAUAUCAAAGGGAUUAUCCAACUGGUUUGUUGUUAAAAGAAGCCAAAGACAUUCUUUAUGAUAUAAAUAUAUCAGGUUUCUUUAAAAUCGGUAUUAAGUUAUAUGUGGUCUUUGAGUCAUGAGCUAGGUGAUGGUCUGUAGAAAGUACCAGAUUUCUUUGAUCAUUAGUGUCCAAAACUGAUAUAUUUGUGCUUGCUGCUUAUGUUAUCUUUGAAACAAUGUGACUCGACAAGUUUUCUUUGAGCAAGAAAUAAAUUCCCAGAUUUCAAAUUAAAAGAGUUAGGGACUGUUUUGAAGCUUGGCUUUACUUGUCAUUUUAAACUGUUUGUGAAACAUAAACCAAAGUACGAUACUUUAAGCAAGCAAGCAUCUUGUUAGAACUCUUGUAUUUUUUAUACUCAUUCUUCACCCCUCUUUCUUUUGCAUGACAUGGGGAAUUCUUAAAUCCCCAAACUUCCCUGAGCUGCUACUGGUUUGGCAUUUGCUGUUGCUGCUGUGUUGGUUAACUGCCUAUUGUAGCUAGCUGUUACUAUCAUCUUGUGAUGCUCAGUUUUAAAGAGGAUGCUGGUCAAGAGCAGACAUUACACUUGAGUUUGUCACUUCCUUUAGGCAUAAUCAUUGUUGUAUUUGGAGCCAAACUGCUGCAUUUUGCAACAAAUCAUGGAUACUCAUGUGCCGAACUUUGAAACACAAUUUGAGACUACUGCUGCACAUCUGUUUAACACUCUGCCUUUUGGGUUUGAAAGAUACCACAUUUGGCAUAUAUUGCUGCUACACUUGGUGAGAGCAACUGCCUAUAUUUAAGCUGAAAUGAUGAUAUGCUCUUGGUGAAAUGUUGCUAUGUUGCUACAUCUUGGUGCAAACAACUAUUGUGCUUUAAGGUAUAUUGUUUUGCUGAAUUUUGAGCCAAGUAGUGGCUGAAUUCUGAGGGAAACACAUAUACUACACUUGAGUUGUUUUCUCAAGAGUAGUUGCUACUCCUAAAGCUAAUUUAUUAGCAUAUUUUGGUGAAUCGAUGUUGUGCAUGGCUAUUCUCUUGCUGAUGUUUUAGGCUGACCAUCAACUGCAGCUUUAGUUUUAAAAGAAAUGUACAAAUACUACACUUGUUGCUGCCAUGCUUUGGCAGUUGCAUUUGUGAAGUUGCUUGACAGAACUGCAGUUCUUUGAUUUAGAAAGUGACCAGAUGUGGCAUUUGAAGUGUUCCUUUGAUACUACCUGAUUGUUGCUGCACUUUGGGGUAUCCAGUUGAGACACUCUGAUGAGAAGUAAAUAUUACACUAAAGCUACCAUUUUCAGAGGCAGUUUUUGCUGCCACAUGUUUGUUAUGCUCGUUGUAUCUUGGGCUGAGUUGCUGCGUCCUAAAUCUGAAUUGCUGUUGGUGUUUUUGGUAAAAAAUUGCUGCUUCAAAGCUGUUCUGAAACAACUGCUUCAGCUUAAUAUUUUCAGAUUGCUACACUUGAAAAACCCACUGGUUUGAACACGAUACUAUACUUGGGCCAAUGGAAAAAUGAUUUUUGAGGCCAUGCCCAGUUCGGAAAGAUUAUCCCUCGGUUUAGGCAAGGAUGAUCUCACAUUGAUAUCACGAGGUAGGAACCAACAUGCGCUUGGCAAGGCAACUAGAAUGACCCUUAGUUUGUAGCCGCGACAUGAUUGAGGUUCCUUUGCCAUAUUCAGAACCGUGAGUCUGAGCCUCCAUAAUCAAAGCUCUCAAAGUUUGAUGCGAGUCCAAGGAAUAUUAUUCUUUAUGUUCCUAAAAGUCACCCUAUGAGGUGGCGUAUCAUUUUGACUAGUAUCAUUUGACUAACUAUUUUCCUUUUUAUUGUGCGAGGAACCAAUAUAACGAGCAUGGAAAGCAAAAGCUCGAGGACAAAGUAAAAAGAUCUGAUGCUUGGAGCUUCGGAUGAAGAAUUAGAAGAAUAUAGAAAAAAGAGAACAAGACCGCUGAAUGAUUUGGGCCCAAGGCCGUAAAAGCUAAACUUUCUUCCCUUCUUUUAGUAUAAGUUUUCAUUACUUUCUAUAUGAUAUGCAAAUACAUUUGUAUAGAUAUUGAAACCCCUAUAGGUUAGAACCUAGGAUUUGGGUAGGCGAUGUUUCAAAACUGUAUCUAAACGAUAAAAGAGUUGUAUCCCACUUGAAAUAAAUAAAUAAAAGUGAAAGUAUAUUUUUCUUGCAAAAAAA